UAAACUAGGAUUAGAUACCCUAUUAUUUUGAAUGUAAAUUUUAUACCUAGGUAGUAAUAGUUUUAUGCUUUAAACCUAAAGAAUUUGGCGGUGUUUUAGUCCAUUCAGAGGAAUUUGUCCCAUUAUCGAUAGUCCUCGUUAUAUCUUACUUGAAUUAUUAGUUUGUAUAUCGUCGUUAUAAGCUUAUUUUUUAAGAAUUUAUUUGCUUUUUAAUAUAUUUAUUUAUAUUUCAGAUCAAGGUGCAGCUUAUAUUUAAGGGGUGAUGAAUUACAAUAUUAUUUUAAUAUAUGGAUAUGGAUUUUAUAUUUUUAUUGAAGGUGGAUUUGUUAGUAAUUUUUACUAUAAUAUUAUUUUGAUUUUGGCUCUAAAAUGAGUACACAUCG
rnacentral:rRNA from 1 species